rnacentral:rRNA from 1 species
CCUACGGGGGGCAGCAGUAGGGAAUCUUCCGCAAUGGACGAAAGUCUGACGGAGCAACGCCGCGUGAGCGAAGAAGGCCUUCGGGUCGUAAAGCUCUGUUGUUAGGGAAGAACAAGUACCGGAGUAACUGCCGGUACCGUGACGGUACCUAACCAGAAAGCCACGGCUAACUACGUGCCAGCAGCCGCGGUAAUACGUAGGUGGCAAGCGUUGUCCGGAAUUAUUGGGCGUAAAGCGCGCGCAGGCGGUUCCUUAAGUCUGAUGUGAAAGCCCACGGCUCAACCGUGGAGGGUCAUUGGAAACUGGGGACUUUGAGGGCAGAAGGGGAGAGGGAAAUUCGAGGGGUAGGGGUGAAGAGCGUAGGGAUGUGGAGGAAGACCGGGGGGGAAGGCGGCUCUCUGGUGUGUAACUGACGCUGGGGCGCGAAAGCGGGGGGAGCAAACAGGAUUAAAUACCUUUGUAGUC